UUUUUAAUUCUAUUUCUACUGCAGAGUGUUGACCUAGAUUAACUCUUUUCUUCACAUGUGUAUCUUCAAAGUCAUCUUUAAAAUUAUGGGGUCAUGAAUGUAUUCACCAGGAUUGAGCCCUUGGUGCUGUUUUAGUAAGUAUUGCUAUCUCAACCCCACAAAUUACACCAACUGACCUUUCCCCUCUCCUUCCCUCCCCUCCCCUGCCUUGUGCCCAAGCCACUGCAUGAGGGGCCUGAGCGAGGGGCUCCAACCAGAGCAAGCCCUGACACUCCCCCGUGCCAACCUUGUGCAGAUCCUGGUGCUCGCCCGCCAGCCCUACCUCAUCCCAGGUCCCAGGACUCCUGGGUCAGAUGGCUCACGUGGGAAUCCAGUUGGUGUGCUAUAUUGCCAGGCAUCUCCAGACAGCUGAGGCUCAGAGAGCACAGGCCUGGGGCUGUCCUAUCUGGUGGACGGGUUUCUGAGCAGGUGGACAUGCUGGGCCUUUCCAGUACAAGAGCUUGAUUAAAGAAAGCUCACAGGGUGGGAAUUUAUUAGAGAUACUAGCAGAGACGUUCCUUUGAGAUACCCAUACCUCAUAUGGCAUAUAGAGUCUUCACUCAUAUGCACGCCCUCAUCUUUCCUUAGGGGUGCCAGCAGUUCCUGUGUGUAACCAGUAUAUGUCAGGGUAACUGGUCCUGGACCCAGGGAGGCGGUGGUAACUGGGGCCUUCUUUAAAAUAUGCGGUAGAAUGGAAGGAUUUGUGGACGUUGUGGGUCCUUCCCAGGAAUGGUACAUUCCUCAAGGUCAUUAGUUGCAAAUCCAUCACAAGUUCUUUUUUUUUUUUUUUUUUUGUUUUUUGUUUUUUUGAGGCAGAGUUUCGCUCUUGUUGCCCAGGCUGGAGUGCAAUGGCGCAAUCUUGGUUUACCACAACCUCCGCCUCCCAGAUUCAAGUGAUUCUCCUGCCUCAGCCUCCCGAGUAGCUAAGAUUACAGGCAUGUGCCACCACACCCAGCUAAUUUUGUAUUUUUAGUAGAGACAGGAUUUCCCCAUGUUGGUCAGGCUGGUCUCGAACUCCCAACCUCAGGUGAUCUACCCACCUUGGCCUCCCAAAGUGCUGGGAUUACAGGUGUGAGCCACCGCACCCAGCCCACAAGUUCUAAUCCGUAUGGAAUUGUUUUCUUUUUCCUUCCCAUGAAGACCUUCAGUGGGAUAAGCCAAGAGGCUGGGGACUGCCAUGAGACUUAGAAGGGACACCCCAGAGCCUGGUGCUGUCUCUAGCUCCUCAUGCAGACUCUCCUCCUCUCCUCCAGGACUCACUGCAGGGAAUGGGCUCUGGGGAGGCAUGAUGAAGAGGCCACUUCAGGAUAUGUUGAGUCUGAAGUGCCCUUGAGACCUCCAGGUGGUGACAUAGAGGAUCUUCAGGGUCAGAGGAAAGGUGGCUUUAGGCAUAAUUAGCAUGAGGAUAGUGAAUCGAAAUGACAGGUGUAGGGAUGUACAUGGGUCUGUGGACAUGGGUGGGUGAGGGGCCAGGGCUGACAGGUGUGGACAUGGAUGGGUGAGGGGGCAGGGCUGACAGGUGUGGGUGUGGGUGGGUGAGGGGGUAGGGC